rnacentral:pre_miRNA from 1 species
UUAAACCACCGUAUCCCCGAGCGAAGACGAGGGGCUCAUUCGAGCGUAGCGAGAAGCUGCCAUGUCGCCGCCUCGACUUCGCUCGGCAUAGCCCCUCGUCUUCGCUCGGGGAUACGGAUGGGAUGU